CGCUGGCUUGGGUAUUUAGUUGUUAAUUAAAAUUUUACGGGAUCGAGGCCCGUCAGACUAGG
rnacentral:tRNA from 1 species